rnacentral:rRNA from 1 species
UGCAGUCGAGCGGUAGAGAGAAGCUUGCUUCUCUUGAGAGCGGCGGACGGGUGAGUAAUGCCUAGGAAUCUGCCUGGUAGGGGGGGAUAACGUUCGGAAACGGACGCUAAUACCGCAUACGUCCUACGGGAGAAAGCAGGGGACCUUCGGGCCUUGCGCUAUCAGAUGAGCCUAGGUCGGAUUAGCUAGUUGGUGAGGUAAUGGCUCACCAAGGCGACGAUCCGUAACUGGUCUGAGAGGAUGAUCAGUCACACUGGAACUGAGACACGGUCCAGACUCCUACGGGAGGCAGCAGUGGGGAAUAUUGGACAAUGGGCGAAAGCCUGAUCCAGCCAUGCCGCGUGUGUGAAGAAGGUCUUCGGAUUGUAAAGCACUUUAAGUUGGGAGGAAGGGCAGUUGCCUAAUACGUAACUGUUUUGACGUUACCGACAGAAUAAGCACCGGCUAACUCUGUGCCAGCAGCCGCGGUAAUACAGAGGGUGCAAGCGUUAAUCGGAAUUACUGGGCGUAAAGCGCGCGUAGGUGGUUUGUUAAGUUGGAUGUGAAAUCCCCGGGCUCAACCUGGGAACUGCAUUCAAAACUGACUGACUAGAGUAUGGUAGAGGGUGGUGGAAUUUCCUGUGUAGCGGUGAAAUGCGUAGAUAUAGGAAGGAACACCAGUGGCGAAGGCGACCACCUGGACUAAUACUGACACUGAGGUGCGAAAGCGU